UACGGAGGGUGCAAGCGUUAUCCGGAUUCACUGGGUUUAAAGGGUGCGUAGGUGGGCUGGUAAGUCAGUGGUGAAAUCUCCGGGCUUAACUCGGAAACUGCCAUUGAUACUAUCAGUCUUGAAUACCGUGGAGGUCAGUAGAAUAUGUCAUGUAGCGGUGAAAUGUUUAGAUAUGACAUAGAAUACCAAUUGCGAAGGCAGCUGGCUACACGAAUAUUGACACUCAGGCACGAAAGCGUGGGGAUCAAACAGG
rnacentral:rRNA from 1 species